AACCCUGAAAGGACACCGGCCCUCCAGGACCGAGAUUGGUGAACCCUGGUCUAAAGGAUCAACCGCUCACCCCUGUAUGCAUUUCUGUUGUGUUGCAAGGGCGAGCUUUAGAUUGAUGGCGUUGGUCAGCAUGUGCAAUUUCACACUGGCUCAGACGAGGCAUGUCUCAUAUGCUAUUUAUUUCCACAGCCAUUUAUUAAUGUAAAUUAUUCUUUCAUUGCCCUGAUUAAAUAUCAGGUCACAGGAGUAAAAAGAGUGUAACAUUCUGGCUCCCAAUGCUGGCACACUUUAUCAAAAUAUACCAAAUCUAAGGCACUACUUGUGGAAAAACAGCACGCUUUUUGUUUUAAUUAGUUUGAUGUUAUCCAGACUGACCGGUUUUUCUUUUUUUUCAGGGGAACUUUGUGUACCAGGGAUUGUGAAAACACGCAGUCUGGCUUCCUGAGCGAACUCCAUCACAUCUGUCUGGACGCAGGUCAUCUGUGAUCGCACUACGGGGACCGAAUUUCCCUCACUCUAUGGCGUGGGCAUUUGCUUCGCAGCGUCUGAGAUCAGCUCAGAAACGGCCUGAGCUGCGGCCAAUCUUGAUAAACACAGCCGCUCAGAAAAUCAGCACUUUGCAUUGUGGGAAAGCGUGUUGUUUGCUUACCUGUCAGAUCUAGUGUUGAGAUCUAGAGCGCUGAUUUUUUUGUAGGAGCCGUGAAGUGAUGCAGUCGCUGAUAAGAAGGCAGUGUCUGAUUGAGCCAGAAAAGGUGUUGGUAUUUGACCUCACAAUCAAAAUGUCUCGUUAUUCAAUUAAAAUGUCACUGAUUUUCUUUCAUUUUUUUGUAGCAUUGCAUUGCAAUUUGGCUGCGUAAUGUUGCUAUUACAAUGUGCCAAACUGAAAUAUAGCCGAUUUAUUUUGGGGUGGAAAUAAAUGGAUAUGAAAUCU